GGGUCUUGCUCUGUUGCACAGGCUGAAAUGCAGUGAUGCAGUCAUAGUUCACUACAGCCUCAAACUCCUGGGCAAGUCAUCUGUCCAGCUCAGCAAGAGUAGCUAGGACUACAGUAAUAUUGUCAUGUCUAAAUGUGUCCAGAACAUCUGAUCACUCCUUUUUGCAAGUAUAUUCUCCAAAAUCUCAACAUGUAAGACUGUGCCCAUCUGGUUAAGAAGGCAGAAGGGAAGAUGAGUUCAUUUUCAAAAAUGCCAACGUUGAAACUCUGCACAAGUUUGUUAUUUAUUUAGUCCUAGAGAGAGACACCUUCCCAUUGUAAAGGCAAGUAA
rnacentral:lncRNA from 1 species